rnacentral:misc_RNA from 1 species
UCAAUCACCGCGUCUCCCUUGAUGUCUUCAACGGCGUGCAUGUAAGGCACAUACGCACUCCCACCCUCACGCUCACAGAACACAGGUCGUUGGGGCUCAGCGACAUAGCAGCUCGGAGUCCCUUAUGACGGUAAUACAGCUCUCUUCUCUACCGCUGGCGACGCAGAUGCUACUGGAUCCAGCGGUGGUACUCGAUCAGGGCAUCCUCGAGGAGUGGAAUGCCGCGUGCGCGGCAGCUGGCUCCCAGAGUAUCGAACACACCGGCGUUGAUCUUUCCUCGACUAUGGCUAGGGGCGGUGCCGUGCGCCGACGCGAGCCACGGCGGCUCGUGGACACGAACGACUUCCUCAAGCUUGCAGAGGCUCUGGACACGCUCGCUGAUGAGCUGAACGUGAAUGCUGCCCCCGGUGGUGCAUCACCGUCUUUGGCGGCAGAGCCACCCACGAAAGCCGCGAGACGCGAUCUCAGCGUCGACGAGCUGGACCCGCUCGGGAUGGACGGGCUGACGGGGGCACAAUUAGAAGACGCGCAAGAGGCUCACCGGCUUUUUGGCGCGAAGGAGUACGCAGCCGCCACGGCCGCUUUCCUCCGUGUUUCCUCCGCCUGCCUGGCGCAUGAGCUGACACCGGCUCUGCUCAACAAUGUGGCGGUGUGUCACUUCGUGAUGGAGCAGUGGAACGCGUGCGAGUCAACCACGCGGCGUGUGCUCGCUGUUGAUGCGACAGAGCGCUAUCCGAGCGCGCGACGACUGACGCGCGUCUUCAUCUCACAGGGGCGCCUGCAAGAGGCGCAGCAGGCCGUCAGCCCACAUCGUGACGCCAUCGACUGGGCCGCCGAAGUGGCGGCUGUGAAGGCUUGCACGAGCUACACCAACUUGUACGCUGCCCAUCAGUACAGCAAGGCGCUCGAGUGCUUGGAGGUGGUGCUGUCACUUUGUCCAUGCGGCACGCUGGAGGCGGCAAAGGCGCGUCUUCUCUCUCUCGACAACACCGCGCAGGCAGUGAGCUACGCGGCGCAACGUUCCCGAGCUUAUACGACGUCGACAGAGCUGCACUUCUGUUUGUGGUCUCUCACCUUCCACUCCGUCACCUCCGUUGUUGGACUCGACACCCUUCUCGCGGGCAUGCAAGCCACACCUUUGGGCAGGUCGGAGCUGCGGUUUCGACACCUGCACACGCACAUCGCACGUUGCAAGGAGGCGUUUGCGAAGCUGCACGGCCUGCGGACUGCGCGACAGUGGCGCGAGGCAGCAACCUUUGUCACGCAAGUCCUCGCCGAGCCGUUUCUCCCAGAUGGGCUGAAGGGUGUAAUGUACUACGAGCGUGCGCGGGUCCUUGCUCAGCAGGCAAGCUGGUAUGCCGCCCUUGACGAUACGCACCGUGCACUGUCCUACACCGAGGAGGUAUCUCUGCGUGCAAGCAUGCUGCUUCUCGUCGCCCGUUGCGAGGAGGCACUUGGCCGCUUGACAGACGCCGUCUACCACACCGAAGAAAGCCUUUGCCUUGUCUCCAACGCUGCGGCCGUAGAGCAGCUGCGUUCGCUCAAGGCACACUUGGCACAUGCGCAGGCUUCUACUGAUGCUCCCAGAACAACACCCUGCACCACGUCGAAGGAGACACCGAAGGCGAAAACGAAUGCCAACGCGUUUUUUCCAGUGUCUCGCGCAUCACUUGAUGUGCAUUAUAAAACGCUCUCUCUCCCCCGCAGCGCCGGUGCAGCAGACGUGAAGAAGUCAUACCGAGCCUUGGCGAUAAAGUGGCACCCCGAUCGGUGGUGCAGCGCUUCGGAUGAGGCCAUACGCACCGCAGAAUCGACCUUCAAGAAGAUCCAGCACGCCUACGAAGAGAUCAUGAAGAGCGCCUCCUGAAAGAAAUCACAGGGCGGUUACCGUUUCCCUCCCCUCGUAAACAUCACGAGCCUGUCUACAUCUGCCUUGGCCCACCACAG